rnacentral:rRNA from 1 species
GAUGAACGCUGGCGGCGUGCUUAACACAUGCAAGUCGAACGGAAAGGCUCCUGCUUGCAGGGGUACUCGAGUGGCGAACGGGUGAGUAACACGUGGGUGAUCUGCCCUGCACUUCGGGAUAAGCCUGGGAAACUGGGUCUAAUACCGGAUAGGACGAUGGUUUGGAUGCCAUUGUGGAAAGUUUUUCGGUGUGGGAUGAGCUCGCGGCCUAUCAGCUUGUUGGUGGGGUAAUGGCCUACCAAGGCGUCGACGGGUAGCCGGCCUGAGAGGGUGUACGGCCACAUUGGGACUGAGAUACGGCCCAGACUCCUACGGGAGGCAGCAGUGGGGAAUAUUGCACAAUGGGCGCAAGCCUGAUGCAGCGACGCCGCGUGGGGGAUGACGGCCUUCGGGUGGUAAACUCCUUUCGCUAGGGACGAAGCGCGAGUGACGGUACCUGGAGAAGAAGCACCGGCUAACUACGUG